UCAAUAAGCGGAGGAAAAGGAACUUACMAGGAUUCCCCUAGUAACGGCGAGUGAAGAGGGAAGAGCCCAAGAUUGAAAGCUGGCGUCUUCGGCGUCCGCAUUGUAAUCUCAAGAAGUGUUUUCCGCUUCGGACCAAGCCUAAGUCCCUUGGAAAAGGGCAUCAUAGAGGGUGAUAAUCCCGUACAUGGCUUGGAGCGCCCGUAGCUUUGUGAUACACUUUCUAAGAGUCGAGUUGUUUGGGAAUGCAGCUCAAAAUGGGUGGUAAAUGCCAUCUAAGGCUAAAUAUUGGGGAGAGACCGAUAGCGAACAAGUACAGUGAUGGAAAGAUGAAAAGAACUUUGAAAAGAGAGUUAAACAGUACGUGAAAUUGCCAAAAGGGAAGGGUAGGAGGUCAGAGAUGCGGCCUGGGAUUCAGCCUUGCUUUUGCUUGGUGUUUUUCCCAGAUUGCAGGCCAACGUCGGUUUUGGGCACUGGAGAAGGGUAAGAGGAACGUGGCACCCCUCGGGGUGUGUUAUAGCCUCUUACUGGAUACAGCGACCGAGACCGAGGACAGCAGCGUACUCGCAAGAGCGGGCCUUCGGGCACCUUUACGCUUAGGGCGUUGGCAUAAUGGCCCUCUACCACCCGUCUUGAAACA
rnacentral:rRNA from 1 species